rnacentral:tmRNA from 1 species
GGGGUAGACUUGGUUUCGACAGGGUAUAUUUGGAUAUGACUGCAAGUGGUAGGAAUACCUAAAAUUCAAACUUAAAAUUAAAUGACGAAACUUCAUAUAGUUUCGCUCCUGCUUUCGUAGCAGCCUAACAUAAGGUAUAGGAGCACUCUUACUUAGAUUUAUCUGUAGUUUAAGAUAAGGGUUUAUAUAUACAGAGUAUAUUACUAUAUUUCCUAAGUUAUAGUAACGAAUAUUUAUUAGGAUAGUUAAGAUGGUAGGUACGUUAUAGCCGGCCGCUUAAUGAAAUUAAAAAUCUAACUAAACUUGUAGACGUUGUAUUACGAAGUAUCUUGGACAGGAGUUCGAUUCUCCUCUACUCCACCA